GUGGGGAAUCUUCCGCAAUGGACGAAAGUCUGACGGAGCAACGCCGCGUGAGUGAAGAAGGUUUUCGGAUCGUAAAGCUCUUUCGUUAGGGACGAACGUGCUCUUUGUGAAUAAUGAGGAGUAAUGACGGUACCUAAAUAAGAAGCCACGGCUAACUACGUGCCAGCAGCCGCGGUAAUACGUAGGUGGCAAGCGUUGUCCGGAAUUAUUGGGCGUAAAGCGCGCGCAGGCGGGAUAUCAAGUCUGUCUUAAAAGUGCGAGGCUCAACCUCGUGAGGGGACAGAAACUGGUAUUCUUGGGUGUCGGAGAGGAAAGUGGAAUUCCAAGUGUAGCGGUGAAAUGCGUAGAGAUUUGGAAGAACACCAGUGGCGAAGGCGACUUUCUGGACGAUGUCUGACGCUGAGGCGCGAAAGCUAGGGGAGCGAACGGGAUUAGAAACCCCGGUAGUCC
rnacentral:rRNA from 1 species